rnacentral:lncRNA from 10 species
CUGCAAGAAGAAAUCAAGGAGUGAUGGCCACUUGGUGACCCAGGGAGUCAAAGGCCAAACUCACUCUCUCAAUAAGAAGCAACUGCAGGAGCAUUUGAAUUUGAAGUGGCCAAACCUCCACGUGUGGGCUACACACCAGGGUCCAGCUCCUGGAGCGACUUGAACUCCGCACCGUGUCCCUGUCACCAGCAGCCAUCCCACAGGGCCACGGGACACCAGGACCUCUUCCUCCCAGCCAGAAGCAAUGGUGUGUCCUCUAACGAAGCUCUCCCUGCGAAGCAGCAGUUCCUGGGAUGAAAGGAGCUCACGCCGGAGGAGGACGUUGAUCUGAAGGCCGCAGCCACAGAGCUCUCCGGACUGGGGAUGGCUGAGACACAGCCUGGGCUGGACUGAACAGCUUCCAGAGGAGAACGGACAGGUGCCACGUGGUCAGGGAAGCCCCCACGGAGUCCGACGUGGCGGUGACUGCGGAUGCCCCACGGUGAGCCCGAGUCCAAGGGAGCAAAGAAGGAGAGGGCGUGUUUGGCUGCGUGAAAACAGUAGGAACGUUCUGAAAUCACGGAAUCCUUAUGAGAAGAACUCGUCAUCCAAUACCCAACAGGAGCUGCUCCUGCCCCGGUCUUCACAACGCGAGGGCUCCAUCCUCCGUGAUCCUUGAUAGCUCAGCUCUAGGAUCUUCACAACGAGAGGGCUCCGUCCUCUGUGGUCCUUGAUAGCUCAGCUCUAGGGCCGCGCACAUUCUUGGUAGAGUGGGACGUGUCUGCUGUUUUUCUAAAAGCUAUUUUUUAAAGGCCUCUGCAACACACAACAUACGUUCUUUUAAACCGCAGUGAAAACUUGAAUGUAAAAAUGGGCCUCACGGGAAUCUUUUCAAUAUUUUACAUUUCUUCGGAUACUUUUCAAAGCCCCUCCAUUUCUCCACCUCCCCUUUCUCAUCUGGUCUCAGCCGGCACAGUGUGGCACGGAGGUGGACCGAUUUCCUCAGGACACCACAGCCAAAGCUCGGAAAACCAGGUUUCCUGAGUUUCAGUUCAGCCAUCCACGACUGUGGUGACAGGCAUCGUGUCUUUCUCUUUAAGAAAAAAAGAAAAUUGUAUAUAAAUCACUGCUUUCAGCUCAGCAGGGAUGAAGUUGUGAGGAUGGUGCCUUCCUCAGGGUGGGACCCCAGUGGGGAUGAGAAUCAGCAGGGCCCUAGGCCCCAGCAGUGGCUUUCGCAUGAUUGAGAAGCCUGUCUUGUCAGUCCAUUUACUCAUCUUAAAGAACAAGAAUACAGUGUGAAGGGGACCUGCCUCCACUCUGCCUCUCUCGGCUCUGGGCUGUGAUUCUCUGCACAGACCACGUUGCAUGUGGCCAUUUGCCUAUCUGCUUCCCUUGUUGGGUGGUGAUG